UUAUUUUUUAAUUUCGUUGUGUCUUUGAUUAUUAUUUUACUCACUUUUUUUAAUAUCGCCCCCCUUCGAGCCAUUAGCCUUUGUUAAAUGCGUUCACAAACGACGAAAAUAAUUUUACGCAAUUUUUAUGUUUGAUUCUAUUGUCCAGCAGUGUAUAAAUACGUGUUAAUCUGCCGUGUCUGUUUCGAGACUGUUUUUAUUCAUUUGGUGCGUAAUGACUAAACCCACAAUCACUGCGUGCAAACAAAGGCAGUGGUUUUCAACCUUUUUAACAAUGUAGCAUACUUCUUUUCUUCUACAAAAUGUUUGCGGUAUACCAAUUCAUAUAAUACGUGAAAUUUAUCGCGGCACACUUCAAAGGCGUUCGUGGCACACCAGUAUGCUGCGACACACCGGUUGAAAACCACUGUGUUACAGGAUAUAAAAGCAUGAAGUAAUACCAUCAUAUCAUACGAGUAAAACGAUAAAACAAUCUUAAUAUGUUCAUAAUUUAAAUAUUUAAUAUACUAAAAUCA